AUGAGGAGAGAUUGUUGAAUCUGAGGACACCAAAGAGAAAUAACCAGCCACUGUUGGAACAAGAGGUCAUCCCUGUCAGAGAAAGAACAUUACUUCUUGAUAAUACUUGACAAGCAGUAAAAAGGCCUCAGCAGAUAGAGAUGGCUCAGAACUUGGACAGG